rnacentral:rRNA from 1 species
UACGGGGGGGGCAAGCGUUGUUCGGAAUUACUGGGCGUAAAGGGUUCGUAGGUGGCCAACUAAGUCAGACGUGAAAUCCCUCAGCUUAACUGGGGAACUGCGUCUGAUACUGGUUGGCUUGAGUGCAGGAGAGGAACGCGGAAUUCCAGGUGUAGCGGUGAAAUGCGUAGAUAUCUGGAGGAACACCGGUGGCGAAGGCGCCGUACUGGACAGCAACUGACGCUGAGACGCGAAAGCGUGGGGAGCAAACAGG